rnacentral:rRNA from 1 species
UCCUACGGGGGGCAGCAGUGAGGAAUAUUGGUCAAUGGCCGUAAGGCUGAACCAGCCAAGUAGCGUGAGGGAAGACUGCCCUAUGGGUUGUAAACCUCUUUUAUGCGGGGAUAAAGGUGUCCACGUGUGGAUGUUUGCAGGUACCGCAUGAAUAAGGACCGGCUAAUUCCGUGCCAGCAGCCGCGGUAAUACGGAGGAUGCGAGCGUUAUCCGGAUUUAUUGGGUUUAAAGGGUGCGUAGGCGGACUGUUAAGUCAGCGGUAAAAGCCCGGGGCUCAACCCCGGCGAGCCGUUGAAACUGGCUGU